rnacentral:rRNA from 1 species
GAUGAACGCUGGCGGUAUGCUUAACACAUGCAAGUCGAACGGACUCUUCGGAGUUAGUGGCGGACGGGUGAGUAACGCGUGAGAAUCUGGCUUUGGGUUCGGGACAACCACUGGAAACGGUGGCUAAUACCAGAUGUGCCGAGAGGUAAAAGAGAAAUUGCCUGAAGAUGAGCUCGCGUCUGAUUAGCUAGUUGGUGAGGUAAAGGCUCACCAAGGCAGCGAUCAGUAGCUGGUCUGAGAGGAUGACCAGCCACACUGGGACUGAGACACGGCCCAGACUCCUACGGGAGGCAGCAGUGGGGAAUUGUCCGCAAUGGGCGAAAGCCUGACGGAGCAAUACCGCGUGAGGGAAGAAGGCUCUUGGGUUGUAAACCUCUUUUCUUAGGGAAGAACAAAAUGACGGUACCUAAGGAAUCAGCAUCGGCUAACUCCGUG